UCAGACGAUGCGUCAUGCAUAUCAAUAAGCGGAGGAAAAGAAACUAACAAGGAUUCCCUUAGUAACGGCGAGUGAAGCGGGAAGAGCUCAAAUUUGAAAUCUUCAAGGGUUUACCUUUACGAAUUGUAGUUUAAAGAAGUGUUUUCUGUUAGAGUUUCGGUAAAAGUUCUUUGGAAUAGGACAUCAUAGAGGGUGAGAAUCCCGUAUUUGACCAGUUAUUUCCAGCUUUGUGAUACACUUUCAAAGAGUCGGAUUGUUUGGGAAUGCAGUCCAAAAUGGGUGGUAAAUUUCAUCUAAAGCUAAAUAUUGGCGAGAGACCGAUAGCGAACAAGUACCGUGAGGGAAAGAUGAAAAGAACUUUGAAAAGAGAGUUAAACAGUACGUGAAAUUGUCAAAAGGGAAGCGUUUGACACCAGUGUUGUUUUCUCGAAAAUCAAUUAAAAAUGAGCUCGAUUUUGUAUUGCUGUAUGACCUUAACAGCUGCACUUUACAAUUUUCGUGCCUUUUUUAAUGAACUUUUCGUUUAACAAGUCAACAUCAGUUUCUUUUGUUGUAAAAAGGUCAUUGGAAGGUGGCUUUCUUUUCGGAGAAAGUGUUUAUAGCCUUUGACUCCUGCAAUCGGAGAGACUGAGGUCUGCAGCGUAGAUCCUUCGGGGUUAGAUACAUUUGUGCUAGGUUAUAGCUUUUUAUAGACAACUUGUUGACUAUGAUUAGUCUUGUAGCUUACUCGCUUAUGCUAUUUUACCUACGCUUAGGAUGUUGAGUCGUAGAGCACGCAG
rnacentral:rRNA from 1 species